rnacentral:pre_miRNA from 1 species
UAGCUUUGUCCUAAGCCAUACAUUUCUAAGUUCGCCUAGGCUUACAGAAAAAUAGAUUAACAUCUAUGAUACUAGAUAAAUGCCCUGCCAAAACAUAUUUGACAGUGGAUUUAACAAAACUAAUUUGAUGUUGUAGAUGUUGAUGCAUUUUUCUAUAAAUUUGGUAAAAGUUAGAAAAGUAUGACUUGUGACAUCGAAAA